GGAGAAGCCAGCUCCCAGCCUCCAGAGGCCAUGCUUGAAACCACGACCAUGCAUUCCUGCUCUUUGGAUUAAUUUCCAUUCCUGGUAGCAGAGUCAUUUGGUCCUUCAUCAACAGAAGAGAAGGAGGCAGACUGAAGCAGAUUUGUAAACCACUGAGCUUUUCAAAUCUAAUCACCAGGUCAUUAGAAGGAGUGGGGUAGCGGGGCUGUUUCUCCAGGAUUGAACACCGGGACCUCCACCAACGUGCUGGGGAGAAGAGUGCAGAAAGAGAAUUUUCCUUCUAUGGAGUUUAUUGCCUAUUGAGUGCCUUCAGUAACAAGGAAAAAAAAGGUAAUCAUGAAGGAUGUUAAUUUUUGUCUCUUCCAACAUCUCUUUGGAAUGUUUAUUGAUUUUCUGUUAGGCAGAUUGGAGACAGCAUGGUGAAAUUAUAAGAACACUAGAUUUCCAGUCAGAAGACCUGGAUUCAAGGCUAGCUCUGCCAAACAUUUCCUGUGCAACCCUGGGCAAGUUGCUUAACCUCUCUGUGCUUCAAUGCUCUCCGCUGUAAACAUGGAGAUAUUAUAUGGAAAAUGUCUCUGAUCAUUUUAAAGCGCUUGCCCAGUUCUUUGAGAAGAGCCCUAAGACCUGUCCCUAAUUUACUGUCUGACCUUGAGCAAGUUACUUCCCCUCUUUGGGGCCUCAGGUUCCUUGUGGAUAAAUGAAAAUAUUGGACUAGUUUUAUCACCAUGCCAGCCUAGCUAUGCAAUUCUAUAAUACUCUGUGGGCUCAGGUGCCAGCACCUUCUGGCUGAGACGAGGUAUGAUGUGGCUGAGUUUAAAGGAAGAGGUCUCUUUAUUAUAGCUUUGAUGCCCCUCCUGAGGAAAGCCAGGUGUUAGGGGGCCUUCUACCUCCACACAAGAGCAGGCAAAAUGGACACGGCAAGCUGGGCUUCAGCUUGGGCAGGAAAUGGUAAGGUGCAUCUGUCAGUGAUGGUUCUUUGUGGUUCUAAAAAGGAAAGGAAAUAUCAGUGGUGAAGCCAUGGCCAGGUCAUAGAGGAAGGAGUGG
rnacentral:lncRNA from 1 species